rnacentral:rRNA from 1 species
GACGUAGGGGGCAAGCGUUGUCCGGAUUUAUUGGGCGUAAAGAGCGUGUAGGCGGCUUGGAAGGUCAGCUGUGAAAACUCGAGGCUCAACCUCGAGACGUCGGUUGAAACCACCUGGCUAGAGUCCGGAAGAGGAGAGUGGAAUUCCCGGUGUAGCGGUGAAAUGCGCAGAUAUCGGGAAGAACACCCGUGGCGAAGGCGGCUCUCUGGGACGGUACUGACGCUGAGACGCGAAAGCGUGGGGAGCGAACAGG